GCCCGGCUAGCUCAAUGGCAGAGCGUAAGACUUCUAGUCUGAAAUCUUAAGGUUGCGGGUGACCCCCGCGUUGGGCU
rnacentral:tRNA from 1 species